GUGGCCUGGACUUUGAGGCACCCCAGAAGGGGAACUGAACUGUAGUGGCCCAGCUGAAGAGGUGGGGCCAGAAAGGCCCUGAGAGGGCGAAGACACUGCCUCCAGCGAAGGAGUCCUGGGGCACUGCUCUAUUCUGGACCAGGGACAAACAGAGAGACAUCACAGGGCACUGAGAGAGGACUUGUUGGACUUGUCGGAGAAAAACACAGUUCUCACUCUCAGGCUGGGUGCAGCAGGCAGACUGUGUAUGACUUUGCCAGAGGGCUGAGUCACUGAAGACCCACCACAAACAGAGAGAGAGAGAGAGAGAGUGUGCAGGCAAACGCACUUGACCGGGGGCGCUAGCGAAAGGUGUCUCAGAGAAGCAUAUUAAUGAACUGUGUCAACUGGACAAUACAAAAAUAUUGUACCUUGUAUGCAGAAUGUUAUUGUUAAAGGAUUGAGGCAGCAACAAGACCCCUUACAGAACAAUGGAGAACAAAAAGAAGAGCUUGAAGAAAAGUUAUUGUGAUAGCCUGUAUCCACAGCUGAUGAGCAAUUGGCAGACUGACUCUGAAGAGACACAGAGCCAGGGGACAGCGAAUUGAUUUUUCCAGGGUUAAAACCCAAUUUCAACCACAGACAGCACAUUUCGUAUUUCUCCCUUACCACCCCCUACCAGGCAGAAAUCAUUAACUUUCAGGUCUAAUUGCAAACAUUUUCUAGUAUAUGAGCUUUGCAACACUGCAGCCUGUCUUUCACUGGGUUAGUUACAGUCAGAGUGAGUGCACCACAGCACUGUGGAAUAAUGUGUUUUAGAAGAACAGAGCCUGAGAAGGCCACCUGGCAAGCAAAUAACCUUGUCAGAGUACAACUACAAAGGAAAUGAAGGUAAUGAAAGAUUCUCUCCCUUCUCCUUCAUGCUUAAUACAGAAAGCCUUCUUGGUGCUUCAUGUAGGCCUACCAUUUUCCCAUCCUGCAUGGGCUGAUUGGCUUCAACCACCAUUGAAGUCAGCUUUCAGGAAGUGGUCAGCAUUGUCCAAGAUCAAGCUCUGUCUUUUUAAAUGAAAAGGCAGCCUGAGCUCAUUUUCCAAGGCAUGUGAAGAUGUGCACUAUCAGUUGCUCAGAGGUAGGUCAAACUAUCAGUCUCUGAAACUCAAGCUUCAGUUCUCACUCCCUCACAUAAUCUCCAAGACUGAUGGACCAAUGUUACUGUAAAAUGGCUUCUUUUUGAAUAUCGCUCUUCUUUCUUCAACUGCUUUUUGUUCCUGAUCCUAGGAAAGUUUGACAUUUUUCAGCUGCACAAAGGACAAAUUUUCCAAAUGCAAGAGCUUAAGCUGCAUCUGCAAAAUCUGUGUAUACAUGAAUUGCAUGCAAACAACCUGCAUUUGUAGCAAACUGUGUAAUUACAAAUGCAAAUAGUACUUGCACAUGCAAUUACCAGAUUUUCAUGUGCCUAUGAAGGCUCUGGAGGUGUAAAUCAUUUUUAAGGUUUUUUUUAAGGUAUUUUUAAGGUUUAGUAUUAUGGAUUUGUUUUAAAUGGACAAGAACAGUAAGACUGAAAAAAAUCAUGGAGGCAAGGAAUUACAGCUGAUGUCUGGGCUUUAUUCAGGGUUGUGGGCAAACUUACACAUCAUUCUAAAGGUACUAAUAGCCCAACACCAUGAGAUGAGGUAAAAUGAGAUAAAGGUAUAGUACCUGAGUCCUUCCCAGAUUUUGUGUGAUUAAGGCCGUCCCUCAUUAUUUGUAAUAUCUUUUUGUAUUGAGAUAGGAGAUUGUUGCUUACCACGAAUAGACAUUUUAAUGAAUAAUUACAUGAUUAAAAGGUAA